UGUGUGCUAAAUUAUAUAUAUAUAUACAUAUACGCGUAUAGUCACUAUAUUUAAGAAAGCAGCGCUUGAAGUGUAGCAAGAGGAGACAGUGAACAAAAUUUGAAAAUAUAUAUUAUAAAUGUGCUAAAAUUUUGACAAGUCCAAUGUAAAUAGUCACUAAGCAUAUAUUCAAACUGUUUUCUGUGCGUUUCUAGACGUGUUCGUGUAAGCGCUUUUAAAUUAGGAACUUGGCUGUAAAUGGGAUGUGGCGUUUAUGGAACAAUUUUUAUUGUGUUCAGACGCAAGCUCAGACGAAGAGGAACAUCGACACUGUAGCUCAAAGGAUGCUAGCAGAUUUAACCUCUUCAGUUAACAACCUGGGCAUAUGGGAGGCACAUCCCAAUUUCUUUUAAUGCAUCGCAUCUAAGCUCACUGUCGUACAUUUCAUAAAAUCCGUGUAAAAAGAGAGGAAAAAAUAAAAAGAACACACAAUUUCAGCAUCCAAGUAGAAAAGCAAGUAUAAUAACAAGCUUAGUAUCACGAGCUAACCUUAUCCUAGGAAAAACAAACGACAGAUGUGCUUGUGUUAACAGUAGAUGUAACGCUACAGUAAAUGUUGUCACAACCUUUUUGCCCUCAUGCAAAUGUGAUGCAGCUAGAAGAACCUAUCCCUUUUACAACUGAACGCUGAGAAUACGUUUUGCAUUGCCCCCUUUUUUUUUAAAAAAAAAAAGAGAGAAAAAAUGAAAGUGACUUCUUCAGUGGAGCGACUGACUGUUUUUGAUCUGCCAAAAUGUGACGAACGAAGAAGGGUAACCAUGUGGUGUAGCGACCUACGGAACACACGUUUGGCGCUCUGACUGUGAUGCGGUCUCCGUUAAAAACCUCGGAAAUGAGAUUUUUCGACGACAGGAAGACCUACGAGAGAGUCCUCUAUGUGGAUAAUUGAACGAAGGCUGCGUGGACUGUUGGUCUGCGCAGAUCUCCUAUAAUUUCAUGACUAGUCGCAGCGAGCGAUGAAUGUGUGCAGAUGCGCCGCCGAUGGUCCAGUAUUUUCAAGCUUUGAAAGUGCUUAGCUGUGUGUGGUGUAUGCGUGUGCAUCGAAGCUCUGCAGUGUUAUCGUAUUAAUGUAGGAGGUAAAGAAAAAUUGCGAGCAUCGUAUUACUGGUGAUCAGGGAGUGAGUUAUUCGAGUGAAAGUUGCCAAAAGUGAUGUUGCUAAUUGUUUCCUUGGUCGUGUGGCAGUGGUAAUGUUUCGCCCAGUUGAGGGAGUCAACACCACCGUUCCCUGCCAUCGCCAGUCUGCAGCCCCAAAACGUCCUGCCCAUCUUCAGCGGGAGAGAGGUCCAUCUACAUUGCCCUCCUCCCCCCCCCCCCAAGCCCCACAUCCCACGUACGUGCAGGAAACCUCUGGGCUAUGAAACGUCUACACGACACCAGUCUAAGAAGUGGCAGAUCAGAAGACAUUGAGGUUCACAGGCGUACGCCGUAGCGUGUAAGAACAGACAAGCUCUGCAGACUUUCGUCGGAAAGAUGAACAAGGAAACGAUAUACGUAAGAAGGAGUCUGUAACAAAACUUGCACACACUUUUUUGUGUAAGAUUGAAACUGGUAUACGUAAUAUAAAAUGACGUAAACUAUUUCUGGUCCUAUAUGAAACUGUAGAAUACGUCUUUAUACACCAAUGGAAUAGCAUACAUAUGUUUCGUACAGAAGUUUUGAGUGUUUCGAUAGGUUUAAACUAAUUUAUAGCAAGAAAUAUGUGCUGUGCUAAAAUACGUACUACUGAUAUUAACAAAAAAGAACACUUUUUUAAGAGGAAGGUAUUCUCAGAACAUAUUUCAUAUUCCAUAGAAAGUAAUGGAAAGUAUUUGUCUUUACUAUUAACCAUUGAUGUGUAUUUGUUAAAGUCUACACACUAAAAUUUGGGACAACCGAUUCAGAGAUUAUUGUAUCAAUUCUGCUGAAAACACCACAGCAUCGGUAGUCAUCAAAUGAGUGUUGUUUGUCGAUUUAUUUUACUUGAAUUCAUUAUUGUAAUUCAACGUAAUUUUUGUAUGAUAAGUAUUGUUUCGAAAGAAUGAGAAUAUCCUAUAUAAGUAUACAUACAUAUAUAAACAGUCACAUCGCGUUCAAUAUUAUUAUAUAGUAUAUUAAAUUGAAGUAACUAAACAUAAAUAUUCACAGAAGUUCGAACACUUGAGUCUUGCGGUUCAAUUUCACCAGAAGAAAACAGUACUACUAUUCAUUUCUCAGACAUUAUAAGUAAGCAUUGAACGUUGACUGUAGUUUGUGAAAAUUACAUAAAACAAUUCAGAAAUGGGUCCUUGUAACUUUUCGUAGUGUAAAGAUAUAUUUAAAAGUCUUGUGCGUGUGUGAGUUAAUUUUUUGUAGUUAACUGUACAAAAGUAAUAAUAAUAAAUUAAUAUAAUAAACAGUGUCA